CAGAGUCCGGCCAGACAUGUGAAGGGCAUCAAAGAAAACUGGAAUGUGGUUCCAAUGUAAUCCGUAUCCACACUGCCAGUUACGGGCGAACAGAUAAAACCACCUGCUCUGCUGGACGCCCUGCGAAUCAACUCAGCAGGACCGACUGCUCUGCAUCUACAACGCUCCCUAUAGUAAGGGAGAGAUGUGAAGGAAGGACGACAUGCCUUCUGAAGGCCUUAAACAGCAUCUUCUCUGAUCCGU